GACGAACGCUGGCGGCGUGCUUAACACAUGCGAGUCGAACGGAAAGGCCCUGCUUUUGUGGGGUGCUCGAGUGGCGAACGGGUGAGUAACACGUGAGUAACCUGCCCUUGACUUUGGGAUAACUUCAGGAAACUGGGGCUAAUACCGGAUAGGAGCUCCUGCUGCAUGGUGGGGGUUGGAAAGUUUCGGCGGUUGGGGCUGGACUCGCGGCUUAUCAGCUUGUUGGUGGGGUAGUGGCUUACCAAGGCUUUGACGGGUAGCCGGCCUGAGAGGGUGACCGGCGACAUUGGGACUGAGAUACGGCCCAGACUCCUACGGGAGGCAGCAGUGGGGAAUAUUGCACAAUGGGCGGAAGCCUGAUGCAGCAACGCCGCGUGCGGGAUGACGGCCUUCGGGUUGUAAACCGCUUUCGCCUGUGACGAAGCGUGAGUGACGGUAAUGGGUAAAGAAGCACCGGCUAACUACGUG
rnacentral:rRNA from 1 species